rnacentral:rRNA from 1 species
UACGGAGGGUGCAAGCGUUAUCCGGAUUCACUGGGCUUAAAGGGUGCGUAGGCGGGCAGGUAAGUCCGUGGUGAAAUCUCUGAGCUUAACUCAGAAACUGCCAUGGAUACUAUUUGUCUUGAAUAUUGUGGAGGUAAGCGGAAUAUGUCAUGUAGCGGUGAAAUGCUUAGAUAUGACAUAGAACACCGAUUGCGAAGGCAGCUUACUAAGCAAAUAUUGACGCUGAGGCACGAAAGCGUGGGGAUCAAACAGG